rnacentral:rRNA from 1 species
UACGUAGGGGGCAAGCGUUGUCCGGAUUUAUUGGGCGUAAAGAGCGUGUAGGCGGCCUGACAGGUCUGCUGUGAAAACUCGAGGCUCAACCUCGAGAUGUCGGCGGAAACCGUCUGGCUAGAGUCCGGAAGAGGAGAGUGGAAUUCCUGGUGUAGUGGUGAAAUGCGCAGAUAUCAGGAAGAACACCUAUGGCGAAGGCAGCUCUCUGGGACGGUACUGACGCUGAGACGCGAAAGCGUGGGGAGCAAACAGG